UACAAAGCGAAACAUGUUUAGUCAAGUUAAAGACUUAAUUACCGGUUUAACUUCGGCGGCAGUGCCUACUGCUGUGAGCAACAUGCGCUGUCCAUCGUAAUCCCCCUAUCAUUAACACUGUCGGGGACGUGCGCAUUAGCGCGUCUGAUGUAGACAGCGUGUGCUAUUAAAGUGACCGGGGACUUAUUAGCUAUAGUGUAGUUACCGACCUUGACCCAGUUAUCUUGAAAAUCCGGGGCUACCAAUUUAAGCAAGAUGGAGAUAACACAUGGUAUACAAUUACUGUGGAUGUCGACAAGGUUGUCGCAAAACCUGAGAACCCCUCAAAUGAGUCAAAUGACGUAGACGCUUCACAACCAACCCAUUCUCAAAUAUUCAACCCGUCAAGGUGGCCAGUGUAUACAAAGCCAGAAGUUGGACGAAACAUAAGGUUCAACAUUUGCAGUGCAGGAAGUAACGCGUUUCUUGGGGCAAGCGCAAACGGCACAGCUCGCAAAGUCUUGCAGCAGGGAGAUCCAGAGGGCGCUAACUACUACUGGCCGAACCCCGCCAUUUUGUUCUUAGUCUACGAUAGGGGCAACCUUAAAUUAUAACUGUCAAGGAUGCAACGGCUUUGCACAAAGAAAUAAUGCUUGGAUUUCACCUGCUUGAAAGAUAAAAAUUAAACUUGUUUUAGUCAAGGACGAAGAUUAGACAUUUUUUCUUUAUAUACUUCAGAAAUAGCCUACACUACUUAAAAGAAGUAAACUGUUAAUCAUGUACUCUCAUAGAUAUAUGUAUAUAACACCCCAUUUCCAUAGAUUUUUAGAUCGAUCUAUCCCUGUGGGGAGUCUCACUAGAUUACUGUCAGCUUGGCCGGCUUAAGCGUCUGUCCCAUUCCCAUAGUACCAUCGUUCACGUGGAUCGACCCAACUCUGGGGGGGGG